ensembl:lncRNA
AAUUAGGGUGAAGAGGAGGCCAGUGGACACGCGGUGUGAUUAAAUUUAGAUCUGGAGGGAGAUCUUGACCCCGCGUGCCCCUCAUCUAAGUGACAUUUAGCCAGGAUAACCACACUGCAGCUGAGGCUUAUUAACCUUUUGUGGGCCUGAACACCACUGACUGGCUUAAUUGGCAGAUGGAUUAUUAAAUAGAGCAACUUCAAGAUGAUUGAACAUCUCAUAUCUACAACGCACAGGCGUCCUCCUGCACCUCUGUGAUCAGCUGUGGCUACUUACCCCCCAUGUAGGCUGUCUCCGAUGCUCUAUAUGGAAAAUCAAACCCCUGACACUGAAAAAAAAAAAAAGAAAGAGCAGGCGUUAAAAAUACAAGAGAGGACUGGUGUGCAUUUCAUCUUCUGUGUCUUGUUUCAAAAUACCAAACGGAAAGAUGCGUCGCAUCAUAUUUGAUGAUACCAGAUAUUGCAAGCCAGUUUGAAUGCGCAGAAGUAUGACUGUCAUUUGUGAAGAAGAAAAGGUUUCCAGUCCAAAUAUCUGAACGGAAAAAGGAAACAAGUUUGAAAGGAAC